rnacentral:rRNA from 1 species
UGGAGCAUGUUGGUUUAAUCGAAGCAAGCGAAGAACCUUACCAGGUCUUGACAUCCCGAUGCUAUUUCUAGAGAUAGAAAGUUACUUCGGUACAUCGGUGACAGGUGGUGCAUGGUUGUCGUCAGCUCGUGUCGUGAGAUGUUGGGUUAAGUCCCGCAACGAGCGCAACCCCUAUUGUUAGUUGCCAUCAUUCAGUUGGGCACUCUAGCGAGACUGCCGGUAAUAAACCGGAGGAAGGUGGGAUGACGUCAAAUCAUCAUGCCCCUUAUGACCUGGGCUACACACGUGCUACAAUGGUUGGUACAACGAGUUGCGAGUCGGUGACGGCGAGCUAAUCUCUUAAAGCCAAUCUCAGUUCGGAUUGUAGGCUGCAACUCGCCUACAUGAAGUCGGAAUCGCUAGUAAUCGCGGAUCAGCACGCCGCGGUGAAUACGUUCCCGGGCCUU